rnacentral:sRNA from 1 species
GUUGAGAUGAAAAGCAUCAAAAGAAGCAGUGGGUUUCUUUGCAUUUGGUAAUAAGAAGAAAUACAAUGUAUUCCAAAGGGCAGAGAAUAGUGCAUUGUGCACAUUAAUCAGCCUGGGGAUUUAUGCAGGGGGCUGUUCAUUGUCUGGAGACAAAGUACUGUCCACUCCACUGUAUCUUGUAGAUCCGGAUCUGUGCUGGAAAUGUUUAUUGUCUGGAGACAAAGUACUGUCCACUCCACUGUAUCUUGUAGAUCCGGAUCUGUGCUUGAACUGUUCAUUAUCUGGAGGCGAGAUACAGUCAAUUCCACUGUAUCUUGUAGAUCUGGAUCUGUGCUGAACUGUUCAUUGUCUGCAGGUGAGAUACUGUCCACUCCACUGUAUCUUGUAGAUCUGGAUCUGUGCUUGAACUGAUCAUUAUCUGGAGGCGAGAUACUGUCCACUCCACUGUAUCUUGUAGAUCUGGAUCUGUGCUGAUCUAAUCAUUAUCUGGAGGCGAGAUACUGUCCACUCCACUGUAUCUUGUAGAUCCGAAUCUGUGCUGAACUAAUCAUUAUCUGGAGGAGAGAUACUGUCCACUCCACUGUAUCUUGUAGAUCCAGAUCUGUGCUUGAACUGAUCAUUAUCUGGAGGUGAUAUACUGUCCACUCCACUGUAUCUUGUAGAUCCGGAUCUGUGCUUGAACUGUUCAUUGUUUGGAGGCGAUAUAUACUGUCCAUUCAACUGUAUCUCAUACAAGCUGGAUCAAUCCCACCUCGCAAGUCGGAAAAUAGCUCCUCAGAGCUAAUGUUCUCAGAAAAGUAACAAAAAGUUGGAAAAUAGCUCCUCUGAGCUAAUCAUCUUGUUUUAUAACUUGACUUUAAAUAAAUAUAUUAUCUUAAUAUAAAGAACAAUCCUCAACACAGACAGUUGACACUGCACAAAAUAACAUAGAGGUCCAGGUGCUACAGAUGUUGGGAACACUAAUUAAAAUAUGAACUAUAAAUGUACCAGAUUGGUGGAAGAUUACACUUGAUUGAAGAUGAUCAUGUGAAAUCUGUGGCUGUUGAUAGUUUAAAAAGACACCCAGUGGUAUCAAUUUGGUUACUUGCAGUAAAAUCUCCCUGCCCUCAAACUCCACUGCAAUCAAAUUUGUUUACUUGAUAAACUUUUCAAUUUUGCUGAUUUUUAACUACUGGUAAAAUAAACUUGAGCAAGAUGUUAUUGCCCUGCCUCUCCC